CAGAGACUCUGCCCUAUGGGUAGACCUCCCACCCUGUGUCGUUAUACCUUUGUUGCUUUGGUGGGCCGUGGGGCCCGGCCCUGCCCCUGGCUCCGGCUAGGGCGCGCCCACCAGAGGAUCUCAAAACCUGAACGUUAGUGUCGUCUGAGUGCUAUAUAAUAGUUA
rnacentral:misc_RNA from 2 species